rnacentral:lncRNA from 1 species
CACCUUCUAAUCUAACAAAAAGCCCACUGUCAAAGGAGUUGGAGAAACACAGUUUGUAGGCUCCCAUCUCCAGUGGUAGAGAAGACAUAGAAAAAUGAUUGAUCUACCUGCAUAGUCAUGUCUACUUGUGAGAAAUAGAAAUCCUUCUAAGUAUGUACUGGAAAUAAGUAAGGAAAAGUUUAUAAAAACAAGUAGAGAAGGCUAGUAAAAAUUAUUAGAAAAAUAAUGGUCUCCUCCAUUCCCAAUCUGUUUACCAACACAAGUAAAACACCAGUUUGCUUAUUUUAUAAAUUUAUGUUCUCUUUUUCAUUUUUCUAGGUCAUCAUAUCUGCUUAGCUUCCACCAUUAAAAAUUUUCAUAGAAAAUAAGUUGCAUUUUUCCAACCCAACUAUCUCUGAUAAUAAAAUGUGACAAAGUUAAACCUAAUAAGCAGCUAUAUAGGUUGUUCAAGUAUGCUUGAUUGUACAUAUUGAGACAGAAAAAUAAGAUGCAUUUGUUUCAAAAGAAGAUUAAAUGGCUAAUGAUUAGAGCAUAAUAACAACUGAAAAACUCAGUAGGAGAGCAAUAUAGAUUAUGUAGCCAAAAAAAGAAGUUUGGAUUUUCAAUUUAAUUUGUGAAAGAGUUCUGCUUUUAAAAUAAUUACAUUUGUUGCUAUUUAAAAGAUUAAUUUUUAAAAUUAAGGUGAAAACAGUAAAAAAAUUGUGCUUUUGU